rnacentral:lncRNA from 1 species
UUUUAUUUCUUAGUUGUUUGACUUCUCGAGCUAAAAUCUUAAUCGGUUCUUCUUCAUAAGUCAUAUCCGGUCGCAGUUCAAUUUCUGUCGGUGAAAUUAUAUGUGAAGGAUCCGAACGAUACCGACAUAACAAGAUACGUGAAACACAUCAUGAAUCUUCUCUAAUUCGGGUGGUAACGCUAGUCGAUAUGCUACCGGUCCAACUUUUUCAAUUAUUUCAUACGGUCCAAUAAAACGCGGACUUAACUUGCCCUUUCG